rnacentral:tRNA from 1 species
GCGGACGUGGCGGAACUGGUAGACGCACUGGAUUUAGGUUCCAGCGCCGCAAGGCGUCCGGGUUCGAGUCCCGGCGUCCGCA